rnacentral:rRNA from 1 species
UACGGGAGGCAGCAGUGGGGAAUAUUGCACAAUGGGCGAAAGCCUGAUGCAGCGAUGCCGCGUGAGGGAAGAAGGUUUUAGGAUUGUAAACCUCUGUCUUUGGGGACGAUAAUGACGGUACCCAAGGAGGAAGCUCCGGCUAACUACGUGCCAGCAGCCGCGGUAAU